rnacentral:rRNA from 1 species
AAUGCAGCCGCAGAGAAUCGGCCCAAGCAACUGUUUACCAAAAACACAGGUUUGUGCUAAAUCGAAAGAUGACGUAUACGAGCUGACGCCUGCCCGGUGCUGGAAGGUUAAGAGGAGAUGUGCAAGCAUUGAAUCGAAGCCCCAGUGAACGGCGGCCGUAACUAUAACGGUCCUAAGGUAGCGAAAUUCCUUGUCAGGUAAGUUCUGACCCGCAUGAAAGGCGUAAUGAUUUGGGCACUGUCUCAACAGCCCGCCCGGCGAAAUUGUAGUACCGGUGAAGAUGCCGGUUACCCGCGACAAGACGGAAAGACCCCAUGGAGCUUUACUGUAGCCUAAUAUUGGGUUUCGAUGUUGCAUGCACAGGAUAGAUGGGACACUGGGAAGCAGGUGCUUUGGCGCUUGUGGAGUGGCCGUUGGGAUACCAUCCUUGCGAUAUUGGAAUUCUAACCUGCGCCUUUGAAUCAAGGCGGGGGACAUUGUUAGGUGGGCAGUUUGACUGGGGCGGUCGCCUCCUAAAGAGUAACGGAGGCGUUCAAAGGUUCGCUCAGCUUGAACGGAAAUCAAGCAAAAGAGUGCAAACGCAGAAGCGAGCCUAACUGCGAGACUGACGGGUCGAGCAGUAACGAAAGUUGGAGUUAGUGAUCCGGUGGUAUGUGAGUGGAAAUGCCAUCGCUCAACGGAUAAAAGUUACCCUGGGGAUAACAGGCUGAUCUCCCCCAAGAGUCCACAUCGACGGGGAGGUUUGGCACCUCGAUGUCGGCUCAUCGCAUCCUGGGGCUGUAUUCGGUCCCAAGGGUUUGGCUGUUCGCCAAUUAAAGCGGUACGCGAGCUGGGUUCAGAACGUCGUGAGACAGUUCGGUCCCUAUCUGUCGUGGGCGCAGGAUAUUUGAUGGGAGCUGUUCCUAGUACGAGAGGACCGGAGCGGACGUACCUCUGGCGCACCAGUUGUUCUGCCAAGAGCAUAGCUGGGCAACUAUGUACGGAUCGGAUAAACGCUGAAAGCAUCUAAGCGUGAAGCCGACCCAAAGAUAAGAUAUCCCAUUGUUUCAAACAAGUAAGACCCCUUGAAGACUACAAGGUUGAUAGGCACGAUGUGUAAGUGGAGUGAUCCAUUCAGCAAGCGUGUACUAAUAGGUCGAGGGCUUGACCAC